rnacentral:rRNA from 1 species
UACGUAGGGUGCGAGCGUUGUCCGGAAUUAUUGGGCGUAAAGAGCUCGUAGGCGGUCUGUCGCGUCGGUCGUGAAAACUUGGGGCUUAACCCUGAGCUUGCGGUCGAUACGGGCAUGACUGGAGUUCGGCAGGGGAGACUGGAAUUCCUGGUGUAGCGGUGAAAUUCGUAGAUAUCGGGAGGAACACCAGUGGCGAAGGCGGCAACCUGGGCCAAUAUUGGACGCUGAGGUGCGAAAGCGUGGGGAGCAAACAGGGAGU